UACGGAGGGGGCUAGCGUUGUUCGGAAUUACUGGGCGUAAAGCGCACGUAGGCGGUUUUGUAAGUUAGAGGUGAAAGCCCGGAGCUCAACUUCGGAAUUGCCUUUAAGACUGCAUCACUUGAACGUUGGAGAGGUGAGUGGAAUUCCGAGUGUAGAGGUGAAAUUCGUAGAUAUUCGGAAGAACACCAGUGGCGAAGGCGGCUCACUGGACGACUGUUGACGCUGAGGUGCGAAAGCGUGGGGAGCAAACAGG
rnacentral:rRNA from 1 species